AUUGAACGCUGGCGGCAUGCUUUACACAUGCAAGUCGAACGGUAACAGGCCGCAAGGUGCUGUCGAGUGGCGGACGGGCGAGUAAUGCAUCGGAACGUGCCCAGUCGUGGGGGAUAAGUACUCGAAAGAGUAGCAAAUACCGCAUACGAUCUAUGGAUGAAAGCGGGGGACCGGAAGGCCUCGCGCGAUUGGAGCGGCCGAUGGCAGAUUAGGUAGUUGGUGGGGUAAAGGCGCACCAAGCCAACGAUCUGUAGCUGGGCUGAGAGGACGACCAGCCACACUGGGACUGAGACACGGCCCAGACUCCUACGGGAGGCAGCAGUGGGGAAUUUUGGACAAUGGGCGCAAGCCUGAUCCAGCAAUGCCGCGUGCAGGAAGAAGGCCUUCGGGUUGUAAACUGCUUUUGUAAGGAACGAAACGGCUCUGGUUAAUACCCGGGGCUAAUGACGGUACCGUAAGAAUAAGCACCGGCUAACUACGUG
rnacentral:rRNA from 1 species